rnacentral:rRNA from 1 species
CCACCAGACUCCUACGGGAGGCAGCAGUGAGGAAUAUUGGUCAAUGGGCGAGAGCCUGAACCAGCCAAGUCGCGUGAAGGAUGACGGCCCUACGGGUUGUAAACUUCUUUUGUCAGGGAGCAAUUGAGUCCACGUGUGGGCUUAGCGAGAAUACCUGAAGAAAAAGCAUCGGCUAACUCCGUGCCAGCAGCCGCGGUAAUACGGAGGAUGCGAGCGUUAUCCGGAUUUAUUGGGUUUAAAGGGUGCGCAGGCGGAAUGUCAAGUCAGCGGUAAAAUUUCGGGGCUCAACCCCGUCGUGCCGUUGAAACUGGCGUUCUUGAGUGAGCGAGAAGUAUGCGGAAUGCGUGGUGUAGCGGUGAAAUGCAUAGAUAUCACGCAGAACUCCGAUUGCGAAGGCAGCAUACCGGCGCUCAACUGACGCUCAUGCACGAAAGCGUGGGUAUCGAACAGGAUUAGAUACCCCUGUA